rnacentral:tRNA from 1 species
GCGAGGAUGGCGGAACUGGCAGACGCGCUAGGUUGAGGGCCUAGUGGCCAUUGCGGCCGUGGGGGUUCAAGUCCCCCUCCUCGCA